rnacentral:misc_RNA from 1 species
CCAUCUAUAAAUGGAUAAGACUUUUGUCUUAAUGUAUUAAGAAUCGUUGAAGGAGCCCAUAUCCAAUAUCUUGUUUUUUUAAGAUUAAGAUAUUGGAUACGGCUCCUUCUUUCUCUUUCUUUCAUACAUAUAUGUUGAGCUAAAACUUUGACUUCUCUGCCCGAAUUCGAGUUCUUUUUCUUUAUCAUGAGUUCCUUUCCCCGCCAAUGAAUGAUAAUUAUCUAUUUUUUUUUAUUCCAAAUUAACGACGAGAUUUAUUAUCGUUUCUCGCAUGUCUCGCGAAAGUCAGAGUAGGCGCGAAUUCUCCCAAUUUGUGACCUACCAUACGAUCUGUUAUAUAAAUAGGUAAAUGUUCCUUUCCAUUAUGAAUAGCGAUUGUAUGGCCAAUCAUUUUGGGUAUAAUGGUAGAUGCCCGAGACCAAGUUACUAUUAUUUCUUUCUCCUCCCUCAUGUUGAGUUUUUCAAUUUUUUUCGAUAAAUGAUUAGCUACAAAAGGAUUUUUUUUUAGUGAACGUGUCACAGCCGAUUACUCCUUUUUUUACAUUUUAAAGAUUGCCACUCUAUGCCCAAUAGAAUAUCUCGAUCUAAGUAUUAAGGUAAGAAUAAAUACAAUAAUGAUGAAUGGAAAAAAGAGAAAMUCCUUUAGAUACAUUACAUAAGGGGCGGAUGUAGCCAAGUGGAUCAAGGCAGUGGAUUGUGAAUCCACCAUGCGCGCC